rnacentral:rRNA from 1 species
GGGUAGCAAUACCACCGGCGGACGGGUGCGUAACGCGUGGGAAUGUACCUACUGGUUCGGAACAACUGCGGGAAACUGCAGCUAAUACCGAAUAAGCCCGCAAGGGGAAAGAUUUAUCGCCAGUAGAUCAGCCCGCGUAGGAUUAGCUAGUUGGUGGGGUAAUGGCCCACCAAGGCUCCGAUCCUUAGCUGUUCUGAGAGGAAGAUCAGCCACACUGGGACUGAGACACGGCCCAGACUCCUACGGGAGGCAGCAGUUGGGAAUCUUGGACAAUGGGCGAAAGCCUGAUCCAGCCAUGCCGCGUGAGUGAUGAAGGCCUUCGGGUUGUAAAACUCUUUCGACGGGGACGAUAAUGACGGUACCCGUAGAAGAAGCUCCGGCUAACUUCGUGCCAGCAGCCGCGGUAAUACGAAGGGGGCUAGCGUUGUUCGGAAUUACUGGGCGUAAAGCGCGCGCAGGCGGUUCUCCAAGUCAGUGGUGAAAGCCCGGAGCUCAACUCCGGAAUUGCCAUUGAAACUGUUGAACUUGAGGACGAGAGAGGUGAGUGGAAUUCCCAGUGUAGAGGUGAAAUUCGUAGAUAUUGGGAAGAACACCAGUGGCCGAAGGCGGCUCACUGGCUCGUAUCUGACGCUC